ensembl:lncRNA
GUGAUUUUGAGAAUGAAAUUGGAGUCCAUCCAAGCUCUCAGAUGUGAUUGGCAACAAACUUCUAGAGUAUACAAGAUGACCAGUGCGAUUAAUCAAUUACAGACAACAGGUGUUGUGCUAUAGGACUGAUCUGCAGGUUGCUUUUGGUCGGUUAUGUCUCAGUCGGGUAAAAUCCUCCACCUGUAUGUAGAGGUGAGAUCUGUCACUGAUGAAGAAGGAAAAGACCUGGGAGAUGUGGAAAAAACAGACUCCCUCAUGUUAACAGCACCAGACAUCCUUCAGUCAUCGCAGUAUGGUGGCCCUAAUGCACCACAUGGCCGGACGUCCCCACGUGGAGUCCUGCAUAAAGGUGGAAGCAGCACCCAGAGCUUGGCCUCUAGUAAAUCAACAUCUAGACACUCUGUAAGUUUUCAGCUACAUCCAGGACAUGGCUCAGACCAACCAGUGACCCAACACCAGAGAAGUUUACCUUCUAGUGAGAUAAACCAGUUAUUGUCUGCCCUUCAGACAGAUCCCGCUGGAAAUACUUGUCAUUUGGUGUGUGCUCCUUCUGAACAUGACCUCUUCUUGGGGAGGGAACAUCACUUGUCAGGACGGUUUACUGCCCCACCUACUCCCAGUGGAACUCGUAAAGCUUUCAGCCCAACUAAGAUGAAGGGAGGAGAUGAAGGGAGGCGAUCUUUUGCCACUUUCAGUUACAUUGAAAAAGCUACAAUUAAAUCAGUAGAGGGUCAGUAUAGCUCUUUGUGCCAAAGUGAGCCUCAGAAUCCUUUCAACAGAAACAUGGAGGAAAAAGCUACCCCUCUCCACCUCAGGAAAAGGCUCAGUGACCCAGUGUGGUUCAACAGCUUGGAGUCCAUGAACAACUGUAAUUCAAAACAGCUUAGUCAAGGUUUAGGAAACUCACAUAUGGGUACCCCCAGCUUUAGGAGGGCGACUCUAGACUCCAUUGCCAGAGAAGCUACCCAUCGAGCAUUGGAGGAAUUCGGUUCCCCACAACUAAGGCAAAAACUGGCAGGCAACUGUCCUGAUAGAAGUCAUAAUGUCAGGACAGGAGAGCAGCGCCGCUGUCGGUCUUGGUCUGGAUCACCAGUGAUACCAUGCAGUUCUAGAACCCUGCCCACUAAAGCAACAAUAAUGGACCAUGAGAGGAAUAGUCAGUUUUAUAGAAUUCCCAGGAGCCCUGCUACAGACCAACUGUCUAACCAUGCCAAACAAGCUUACUUUAAUAUGUCACACUCAAACGCAAACACUCAGGAGGUCUCAAACCAAAGAGUGCAAGGGUGUAGGUAUCGCCCAAAUUUACCAUCCGGUAAGCCUACAGCUAUUCAACACGAACUACCAGCUAUGAUUGUAACUCAACCAUCAAGCUAUCAACAAAUCAGUCAUUCCAUGAUUGAUAGUCCACGGCAAGCCCACAGAGUUAAUUUCAACCUGGCCAACUUCAAAAAUAAGGUAGAAGAAGGAGCUGACCAACUUAGUGGAAUGUGCAGCGCAUCCCCAGCCACAAGUCCCGAGAUGGCUCGUAAACUAGCUGAAGAAGCCACCAAAUUUUCCAUACUUAUGGAAGCCAGGAGGUCUCCAUCCCCAACCUCAUCAUCAACAGACACAGUAAGGUCUGACAGUUCCCAGUUGGGACAUUCAAGAGAGCCUCAGCUCUAUGCUAGCUUCCAGGGCCCUGGAACUCACCCUAACUGCAAUCUUCCUGUUCAGGAGCACAAAUGGAAACAAGAGUCUAUCAAGACUGUUCACCACUCUGUUCAAACAACCCCUCUUUUGCCCCACAUUGGAAGUACAUCUCCGGCAGCUCCAGCGAGGUUGAACCGAUCAGAUGUAAUAUCAUCCUCUCCCAUAAGAGACCCUCGGAUAGAGAGAACACAGUUGGUUGGGAAGGACAGCCCGACAUUGCAUCGGCAUCUGCCUUCCCAGUACACAAGGGACAAUCAUACACCUAGCUAUGAGCGUAGGCGAUAUGGUACACUCAGAGGUCACAAAGACAGCCCAGAUAGCAGCAGGACACCUUUCACAAGGCCUAACCUAGAGACACCAAGCUGGACCACUCAGCAAAAGCAUGGGACAGAGGAAUGCUUAGCCAGAGAAAAUGAAAACUUGAGGGAGAUGGACAGUCAUAAGAGGAAUAGUCCAACAACACCAGUCUCCCAAGAAAACCAUUGUAGGGUCUCAGUGCAGAAUAAUGAGAUGAAAGCUGACAUUAGGACUAACAAGGAGUGGAGUGGUACAGCAUCACAGAGCUCCAGUGGGGUCACAGGCAGCCUUAUAGAGAGCACUCUACAUGAGAAAGAUUGCAUAACCUCAGAGACAUCUAGCAAAACCAGCCAGAAGAGCCCUGACUCUGGAAACACAGGCAUACCGAUCUUGUCUGAAAGUGGACCGUUUUCACUGAGGCCUUCCUUGCACUCACAGAAGACUGCUCGUGCCAAAUGGGAGUUCCUGUUUGGGUCCCACAACGAUCAACAAGAUCAACAUGAAACAAAAGGUGUUUUCAGUUCACUGAUGUCAAAGAG